rnacentral:rRNA from 1 species
ACGGGAGGCAGCAGUGGGGGAUAUUGCACAAUGGGGGAAACCCUGAUGCAGCGACGCCGCGUGAGUGAUGAAGUAUUUCGGUAUGUAAAGCUCUAUCAGCAGGAAAGAUAAUGACGGUACCUGACUAAGAAGCACCGGCUAAAUACGUGCCAGCAGCCGCGGUAAUACGUAUGGUGCAAGCGUUAUCCGGAUUUACUGGAGGUAAAGGGAGCGCAGACGGCAUGGCAAGCCAGAUGUGAAAGGCAGGGGCUCAACUCCUGGACUGCAUUUGGAACUGUCAAGCUAGAGUAUCGGAGAGGUAAGUGGAAUUCCUAGUGUAGCGGUGAAAUGCGUAGAUAUUAGGAGGAACACCAGUGGCGAAGGCGGCUUACUGGACGAUAACUGACGUUGAGGCUCGAAAGCGUGGGGAGCAAACAGGAUUAGAUACCCUGGUA